AUCGUUACGCGGAAUAUCAGAGAAUAUCUUUGGUGGUUUGCAGACGAGAUUAAUCAAAUAUAUGAACAUACUUUGUGGUUUAUGGUUUAACAUACGGUCUCAAAAAUAUCGUAGGCCCAUUAUGGGCGGGGUCGUGGCUUGGGUCGAGUGAGAGACAUGGAGCGACCUCAGUGUUCUCAGUGGUGAGCUGCACGGCCAUCGCCGACCGUCGGUUUGGCCUAGCACAAUCAACGUAUUCUGCUAUGACAUCGCUCUGAAAAUCCCAGAUUAUCCCAGUAAAAGGUUUUCUCUCGAUAGCCGAAAUUGGAGGAGUUAACGUGAGGCGUGCACGUUUCUUACGGAGGGGCCAGAAACGUGUGCGAGAUCGGGCGAAAUUGGGCGGCCAAAGUUAACCUCAGCCUUGCCGUCGUGUCGUCCUGUUUCAACCACGAAAACAAACCAGGAAAAAAAGGUGGAGCGAUACCGAGGCUCACUGUGAAAGAGAAAGAAAAAGAAAAAAGCGAAGGGGGAGGGAAUGAACGGCCCUGGGAGUCAUCAGCAUCGCGGCUUGGGCAUGCAGGGACGUUACAGGGCCGUAGUAACCGGUGGCACCACGGCAGGGCCCCACUCUCGCCCCCCAGCGCCACCUCUCGUCCGCGGUGGAUGGCACCCCCAUAAUCAGCACCCUCAGCACGCCCAGAUACCCCAGCAAUACACCGGCAACAAGGAAUACCCGUAUCGACAAUGUCCACCACCACGCUUCCAUAAUGGGGAUUGCCCUGGCGUUGGUACGUCUUCCGGACCAAACGGUAAGGAAGUUUCGUAUCACGGGAACGUAGGCGGGUCUAGCGUGGGGUACAAACCGCCCCCGCAACAUAGUCCGCAAUCAAGAGGCCCACCGGCACAUUUUCCGCAAGAGUCCGUGAGCCCACCGGCUAAUUCUCCGCCGUUGCACAUUAACAUCUGUGGUCAAGAUAAUACGAUGCGUGGUCCAUUAUUGAAUAUGAGUCCAGGUCUUGGAGCUAGCGGCGUCGAUAUGGAGUAUCGUAGAAGUUCCCAAGCCACAAACCAGCUACCUCUAAGUCCUGUACAAAUACAGCCAUCGCCGCCAUAUUACAGACAACCUAGUCAAGAUGAUGGUAGAAAGAGCGAGUCACCAUCUAGAAAACGUCGUCGAAUAUCCCGCAAUGGUGCCGUCUCUGGAAUAGAAGUCCGUGAGACAACGCCACCAUCACCUACACCGCCAUUACACACGACUCCACCUCCAUGGGAAUUCUCAGCAGCGCCUCAGAGGCGAUCACCUCGGAAUCACAUGUCCACACGCGGCAGUCCAACUAUCAGAAAUCGUUAUCAACGAUAUACGGAUUCGUUUGGUUUAUCCUAUCCUUUUGUGCCCGGUCACACCCCUCUUCCGCCCAUUCACAGUUCCCAUCACGGACUCCUCAGUUCUCAUCACAACAUUCACAAUUCGCACCAUAAUUUACAUAACUCGCAUCAUAACAUGCAUAACGCCCAUCAGACUCAUCCUCAUCAUCCACCGGGCACUGGGCAUCAUCCUGCCCAAGGAGCAAAUGGUCCCGUGGUUGUAGAAGUUGGGCAACUCGGUUUGGAGGUUACCGUUAGCAGGGAACUGCUCUGGCAUCCUCCGGCGACAGGUUAUAGGAUUCCUUGCCAGUUACAUGGCAUAUAUACACCGACCGGAGCAUUUGCGCAUUCAUGUCAGGUCACUCAUCACCAUAGUCACUACUCAGCUCCACAUCCGACCCACUCGGGUCAUAGCCUCGUUGGUUCGAUAGUAGGUGCAGCAUCCAGAGGUUAUCCUACACCAACUGGAGGUCCUGUAACAGCACUCCACCACGCUCAUGCGUCACCACCACCCGUCCAUACUACUCAUUACAAUGCGCACCAUCAACUCUCCCAACAGCGGGAAGUUGAAUUAGAAUUAAUGGAAUCCCAUCAUCACCACAGAGUAGGAGCUGCAGCCAGUGCAGCAUUACCACAUUCAUAUUCUCCGCCAGCUCUCACUCAAGUCACUACUCCUACUCCUACUCCCAUAUUCUUAUCAGAAACGAGAAACAGUCAAUUGGAUAUGAUUCAGACCAGAACACGGCGCACAGCGUCGAAUGUUCACACGCUCAGACGAUCCAGGUCGAACAGAUGGAGAGGUAUGCUUCCAGUGCCGACUACCUAUACAGGAUUCUUGUUACAUUUUUUCGCAAUGUUCAACAAUGCAACAUUGCCCCCGUAUAGUCAAGGAGAAUUAUCUUCACCAGACUCGGCAACCGAAAAUUACGAGGCCCUGCUAUCCUUGGCGGAGAGAUUAGGAGAAGCUAAGCCACGAGGCCUAACUCGAGCCGAAGUGGAGCAGCUACCCUCGUACAAAUUUAACGCGGAAACGCACCAGGGAGACCAAACUAAUUGCGUGGUCUGUAUGUGCGACUUUGAGGCUCUACAAUCGCUGCGCGUUCUGCCGUGCUCACACGAAUUCCACUCAAAAUGCAUCGACAAGUGGCUGAAGUCAAAUCGAACUUGUCCAAUUUGCCGCGGCGACGCUGGGGAAUACUUUGGAAAUAGCGGAACUGGUAGCGACUGACGCCAAGCCGCCCAAGUACACUAGCGCCAACUGUCACGGGUCUCAGGGACGCUACUCGGCACAGAGAUUCCAGCAAUCACAUUGCUGGUUUGUGCAAAUUUCUGUUGACAAGCAUUUCUUCCCUUUUCUCUGACCGAGCCGUGUGUGUCACGAUUAACCACCUCGACUUCGUGAAGAGGAGGGGAUUGGAAAUGAAUGAAGAACGGAAAACGAAAAAUACGGGGAAAAAGAGUAAAAUUCAGGGUAUGAUGUCAGGGUGUUUGGUGUCGAGAAAAGGACCACACACACGCAAUAAAGAAUCCCGUAAUACAGCAUUGCUCGGUCAAAGGGAGUAGCCUCUAAUUUGCGACGAUGCCAUUCCAAUCGCCGGGAUCCCUAGCUCGUUCUCGACACCCUUGACGUUCAUGCGAUUCUCGAACGGUAGAGACGCACUACGAAGAUCGCAAGAACAAGAAAAAGAUGAGAAGAAAACGUAUGCAAUAGAUGGGGAUAAUCCAGAAGAGUCUACAUGAGAUACGUUAGAAUUCGAAUCACUUUAAAGUGAGAUAUGCUCAUAUCUCAUGACCCUAUAGGUUAGGUUGGAACGUUCCAUCCACUUUAAGCUGCUCGACAGAAAUACUCUAGCAACGGCAGUUUCCCUUUAAUGGAAAGCACCCUAGCUGAAUUUAUAGGGGGUGGGUUGUAGGCUUUAGAACAUAAACCCUCUUCCUCCGUGCAUAUCUUCCGUCUCUCGCGUCGUUAUUUUUCUGUUUUUCUUUCUUCCGUUUGCCUUCAUCUGUUCGCUUUUUUUACUUGCGCACACUGUUUAUGGUUUACUUAUCUUCCGCUUUUCUUCAUUCUUUAGUUCUUUCUCUCCAUUCUCCGUUACUUACACUAAUCUCGCUAUCUUUCUCUAUUUUCAAUUUUACAAAAUUUUUCUGAAUUCUGUUCACGUAAAAUAUCGUCUUUUCAUCUUCUUUUAAUCUUUCAAUCCUUUUCCCUUCUUUUUAUUUGCUCCAACCCCAUCAACCACCCAUAACCUCCCUAAGGCUGACAUGUAGCUAAUACAUUCCCUUUAAGCUAUAUAUCUCUCCUACUUUAUCUUUCGGUCUCUAGCUUUCGUUCCUUUUGCUGAUCCCGGGGCUCUCCCUCUUGGCGGUUCGCAACUUCGAUCUAACUGGGCAGAGUUAAUGUAGAAGCGGACAACGAGAGCGAACUAUUAUAACAUGGCAGGGUCGAAAUCAAUUCGCCGGGCAAAAUUAACGCGCUCGAGGGUCGAUGUGCUCCAAACGUAAUGAAUUCACAAGAGAAUCUUGAAAUAUCACAUUACGACGAUUAAAAGUACGACAAGGACUGUAUAGGCUUUUUUAAAGUUUACAAAAGCUAGACGUACGCAAUCGAUCUGACAUCGAGAUUGAGAUUUACACUUUUUUCCUGUUAUCUAGUGAAACAGAAGUUUAUGAUUCUUCUGAAUGAACAUAGAAAAGUGACACGUUCGAUACAGAUCAAUGCAUGAAGCUUCCGAUUCUCAAAGGAGUAUAUAUAUGCGCUAGCGCAUGCGAUCAGUUUAUUCUUAUUGGUAGAUAUUUCGGCGGAAAUGAAUAAUCAGUAUGUCGUUGUUUUAAAUGAUGAAGCAACAUUGUGUAGCCUUGAUCUUUUUUAUAUUUCUUGACAUUAUUCCUCGAGAUACAAAAUGUUAUCAAUUUGCGUUAAAAAAUUCUUUAGAAUUUAGUAUGUAUAUUUAAUUCGUGAUACAUUAUUGAACGCCAUGUUACAUCCAAUUGAUCCUCGGUCCUGCUCAACGCACACAGUCAUUCGCACAUUUCUUAAUGAUCUUCAUCCGUUUCAAAUCUUAAUAAACCAACAAUUUGAUUUAUAUCGACUAUGAAUCGUAAUUGAAUUAUAUACGAAUGAAUGGACCGAUGAUUUAAAUCAAUUGAAUUGUU